rnacentral:rRNA from 1 species
UACAUCGGAACAUGUCCUGUAGUGGGGGAUAGCCCGGCGAAAGCCGGAUUAAUACCGCAUACGAUCUACGGAUGAAAGCGGGGGACCUUCGGGCCUCGCGCUAUAGGGUUGGCCGAUGGCUGAUUAGCUAGUUGGUGGGGUAAAGGCCUACCAAGGCGACGAUCAGUAGCUGGUCUGAGAGGACGACCAGCCACACUGGGACUGAGACACGGCCCAGACUCCUACGGGAGGCAGCAGUGGGGAAUUUUGGACAAUGGGCGAAAGCCUGAUCCAGCAAUGCCGCGUGUGUGAAGAAGGCCUUCGGGUUGUAAAGCAC